ACCUAAACCCUAUUCAAAUGACUGGCCUUCCUACAUACUUGCCCUGGCCCAGCUGGUGAUUGCCCUAAUCUUUGGAUCAGAACAGGCCCAACUUGAUGGCUCCUCCUCAAAGGGGAAGGUUUUGCUCCUCUGCUGGUUUCCCUGCUAACCAACAAGCCCAGCUGACAUCAAUUACCACCAUCACCAGUAACCUCUCCCCUCACCACCCUCAGGGAAAACCGCUGCCAUUUCCUGCCCACAGCCUGCCCCACACAAUGGGGUGUUGCCCCAGGAUCUUGCUCCAGACAUGAAGCUGCCAAGUUGGAGCUCCCUGUGGAGACACCCACAGGAAGAAGUGGAGGCCUUCCGUCCUUCAGCCCAUGAGGAACCGAGGUCUGCCUGUGACCACACACCUGAGCAGAAAGCAGAUCGAUCCUCCCCCAGCUGAGUCAGCAGGAAGCUGCCAUGUUGGGGCUCCCUGUGGACGCCCACAGGAAGAAGCGGAGGCCUUCCAUCCUUCGGCCCAUGAGGAACUGAGGUCUGCCCGCGGCCACACACCUGACAGAAAGCAGAUCGAUCCUCCCCCAGCUGAGCCAGCAGGAAGCUGCCAUGUUGGGAGCUCCCUGUUGACGCCCACAGGAAGAAGCGGAGGCCUUCCAUCCAGCGGCCCAUGAGGAACUGAGGUCUGCCCGCGGCCACACACCUGAGCGGAAAACAGAUGGAUCCUCCCCCAGCUGAGCCAGCAGGUUCCUGGCCAAUGACAAUCAUUUUGAAGGUCAGAGGAACUUAAUCAUCUUGACCACAUGGGAAUAUGCUUGAGUUCCCUUCUGAUGAAGGAAACUGCCAUGUUGGGGCUCCCUGUGGAGACGCCCACAGGAAGAAGCGGAGGCCUUCCAUCCUUCAGCCCAUGAGGAACUGAGGAUUGCCCACGGCCACACACCUGGGCAGAAAGCAGAUCGAUCCUCCCCCAGCUGAGUCAGCAGGUGAGACGGCAGCCCCAUCCGACACCUGACAUCCAGCUCAGUCACGGCCAGAUCCUGACCCGCGGAGACUGGGAGAUGACACGUGUCGUUUUGGGGUGAUGUACUUCACAACAGAGAAUGAAUACACAUCACUAAUACAAGUCAAUCAGACAUUUGAAGGCCCAUCUGAGACUUCUUCCUGGGCAUUUAUAUGCUAACAACUAAAUCCUCAGAGGAUGUACCUUUGGAUAGAAAUUUUAAAAGGGUCCAGACAAAUCAUAUAAAUGUAGAGCUAAACUUGUUCCUAAAGCUACUUUAUCCAACAUUCUCAGCUUACAGCUGGGAAACUGAGGUACUGAGCCUUUCUCAGAGCCCCCGUGACAUUAGGGAAGGGCCAGGACCUCAGCCUGAUCUGUUUCUCCAUCUAAAGUGCCUACAGAGCUUCAUCCUCACUUCCUUUGCUAUUUAAGGCAGAAAUGAUGCUCUCCUGAGUUUUGCUGACUAACAUGUUUUGUAUAAAUGCCCUCCACAUGUUAUGUAGUGGUGAAUAUUUGAUGCAAAAGAGGAGGCCCAACAAUACUCGCUCCUUGAUGUUCGCAGUGAAGAGAAGUUGCUCUGUAUCUCUUUAUAGCCUUUGCUCUCCCCCUCACACCCCGGCAGCAAUAGAUGGACAUGAAUGGAAUUGUUGGGAGCCCUGGAUAACGGGAUACCCAGAUGCUUUCUGAACAGAAAAUUGUCACCAGGCCACACACAGGCAAGAGGAAAGGAGCUAGUUAUAAGAGCUAGAUUGGUGGCUUAUCAUCCAGAGAAUUGGGCUUCCCAGGUGGCACAGUGGUAAUGAAUUCCCCCACCAAUUCAGGAGAUACAAGAGACAUGGAUUCGAUCCCUGUGUCUAGAAGAUCCCCUGGAGGAGAAAAUGGCUACCCACUCCACCAUCCUGCCCUGAAUUACUCCAAGGAUAGAAGAACCUGGCCAGCUAUAGCGCAUGGGGUCACAGAUAGUGGGGCAGUACUGAACACGCCACCUGUUCAGUACUUGGGCCACCUGAUGUGAAGAGCUGACUCACUGGAAAAGACCCUGAUGCUGGGAAAGAUUGAGGCCAAGAGGAGAAGGGGACGACAGAGGAUGAGAUAGUUGGAUGGCAUCACCAACUCCA